AAAGUCGUUGGAUGAGUAAAGCGGUGGAUGGGUGAGAAACGCGUACGACUCUACCUGGUAGUGGGGGACAGCUCUGGGAAACUCUAGCUACUACCGCAUAACCCCUAACGGGGAAAGUGGGGGACCGUGACGCCUCCCGCUAUUAUAUGAGCCUGCGUAAGAUUAGCUAGUUGGUAGGGUAAAAGCCUACCUCGGCGACCAUCCUUAGCUGGUCUGAGAGGAUGAUCAGCCAGACUGGAACUGAGACAUGGUCCAGACUCCUAUGGGAGGUAGCAGUGGGGAAUCUUGCAUAAUGGGCGAAAGCCUGAUGUAGCCAUGCCGCGUGUGUGAAGAAGGCCUUCGGGUUGUAAAGCACUUUAAGUGGGGAGAAAAGGGGAGUCGUUAAUAACAGCUAUGUAUGAUGUUACCCACAGAAUAAGUACUGGCAAACUUCGUUCCAGCAGUUGCGGUAAUUCGAAGGGUGCGAGCGUUGAUCGGAAUUACUGGGCGUAAAGAGCAUGUGGGUGGUGUGAUAAGCGGAAUGUGAAAUUUCCGGGUUUUACUUUGGAACUGCAUUCCGAACUGUCCGGCUAGAGUAUGAUAGAGGUGAGCGGAAUUUCCUGGGUAGCGGUGAAUCGUGUAGAUAUAGGAAGGAACAUCAGUUGAGAAGGCGGCUCCAUGGAUCAAUUCUGACGCUGAGGUGCGAAAGCGUGGGUAGCGAUCAGGAUUAGAUACCCUGGUAGUGCACGCCGUAAACGAUGUUUACUAGCCGUUAGGGU
rnacentral:rRNA from 1 species